CGCCGGCUGGCGCGGGACGAGGCGGUGUUCGCUGGCAUGAGCAGCGGUGGGGCGGUGACGGCCGCCACGCGGGUCGCGGCCGGACUGGCGUC
rnacentral:tRNA from 1 species